rnacentral:rRNA from 1 species
GACGAACGCUGGCGGCGUGCCUAAUACAUGCAAGUCGAACGCUUCUUUCCUCCCGAGUGCUUGCACUCAAUUGGAAAGAGGAGUGGCGGACGGGUGAGUAACACGUGGGUAACCUACCCAUCAGAGGGGGAUGACACUUGGAAACAGGUGCUAAUACCGCAUAACAGUUUAUGCCGCAUGGCAUAAGAGUGAAAGGCGCUUUCGGGUGUCGCUGAUGGAUGGACCCGCGGUGCAUUAGCUAGUUGGUGAGGUAACGGCUCACCAAGGCCACGAUGCAUAGCCGUCCUGAGAGGGUGAUCGGCCACACUGGGACUGAGACACGGCCCAGACUCCUACGGGAGGCAGCAGUAGGGAAUCUUCGGCAAUGGACGAAAGUCUGACCGAGCAACGCCGCGUGAGUGAAGAAGGUUUUCGGAUCGUAAAACUCUGUUGUUAGAGAAGAACAAGGACGUUAGUAACUGAACGUCCCCUGACGGUAUCUAACCAGAAAGCCACGGCUAACUACGUG